UCAUAGCAGCCGCCAAAGCAGUUGCCAGCAGCUUCAUGUGGAGCCUGCUCCCUCUCUGAGGAGUGUGUCUCUUUAAAUAUCUCACAUAAAAACCAAGGUCUGUAGAACCUGAAAAACUACAGCAAAAAGCAAUGUGACGAUAAGGCGAAUAUUUGUCUGGCUAUGUGCAAAGCCCCGAAUCAAGUUUUUCUUCUUUCCUUUCCAGGGACUCUAAUUCAGAAAGGUGUUGGUGAGACCCAAAUCGUACGGUGGAUCGUAGCGUGUUUUUACCAUCCCUCACUGGAGCGGAGCAAUCGCAACGGGACGCACUGCUGAUCGAUACGUUCAGAGGAUCUGGUGACCCUCGCUGUGGCCAUGCCCAAGCCACCCGCUUUGCAGACAGAGGUGAUCUUGGCCUUCAGGAAGCUGUAUGUGAGCUCACCUUUCUCUUGUUAUGCUUCAGAGCUUUCCAGAAGCCCGGGCCUGGAAUCAGGCUUGACUCUUUUAAUAGACAAGAUCCAGACACAAAAUAACUUUUGUCUCUGAAUCUGAAGGAGAGUUAUGCUGUGGUUAUACAGCUGCUGCUGAUGUAUGCAGGAACGGUGAAUUUGGUGGUGGUAAUUUCAAAUUCCUACAGGCUCUGUUCCUGCUAUGAGCAAACAGCCUGCGUUGUUGGGAUAAAGUAAAUCAGGACUUUCUGGAUCACAACUUUGGCUUAAAAAUUACAUUCAUUUCCUUGAUAGAGUUUCUCAGAAAAAACACCUUAACUGACUGUCACUUCUUAUGCCGCUUUGCCAUCUGCAGUGCCGGGAUGGUACCUGAGCAAGGAUUUCAGUUAAAGGUUUUCUUGCUGUAACUCUGUUCUUAGCUAUCAGCAGGACUAAGAUGGAAUAGGAGUUGGAAAGCCUAUAGUCAUCAUGGGAAUGGAGACACUGCUUUGUUGGAAAAAAGACCACGUUACAUAGUUUAUCUGGACAAUCACAGCCACUUGCAGCAGCAUUGCCUGUGCUGCAUUUGCUCUUCAGUGAACUGGAGCUGCUUGUCAUCCAGGAGGUCAUCCUGUAGCUCACAGAACUCAAGAACCCAGUGAGGAGACAGCAACUGACUUGAGAAGAGCUACAUUGGAUAUUAAAUGUUCCUAAAAUCACAGAAUGGCUGAAGUUGGAAGGUGAUCUCUUGAGAUUAUCUGGUCCAACUUGCACUUAAGGGAUACCCAGAACAGUGGGCCCAGGAACUUGUCCACAUGGCCUUUGAAUAUCACCUUUUUGGCCAUGUGGAUGCACUGAUGUCUCACGUUCAACUCGAUGGUCACCAGGAUCCAUGGGAGCAUCCUACCAGGAUUCAUAGACUUGUCAUCCUGUGCUAACAGCAAUGCUUCCUUGUAUCUGAAGGUGAGCAGUGUUGAAAUGUACUCUGUGGAAGACAAAACCCCCUGGAACCUGGGGACUACAGCAGCUCUGGGAGAAGGAGGCACUGUGUUGAAUCAGGACGUUGCACAAGAGCCAGCUUCAAACCGUUUAGGGUAUUUGGAUGUGCAACAUUAAUAUCCCACUCAUGCUCUGCUUUGAUUGCUGAUUGCUUCUAUUUAUAAUCGGAUAUCAUCAGAGUUCCUUCACUUCUUCCUCUCAAAUAGACUGCACCUCCUUCUCAUCCUCCUCCACCUCUCCUUCCCCCCUGCUGAGACCCACCAUGGAGCCACUUCUACAUUUUGCUUGCAAUAAAGUAAAAGGUUAUGUGGUUCCAUUCUAACUCCUUGGUCAUAGCUAUGUAAAAAGCCUCAAAUGAGGACAUCAAGGAGAAGCAGAGCAAAACUUCCAUGAGUACCAGAUGCACAGGGUAGUACACCUCACAGAGGCCAAGAAGAAAGAAAACCUUUGAUUAAAUUACUUGGAUUGUAUCCCCCAAAAUUUAUUACCCAUUGUUUCAUUUAAAAUCAGAGAGAAAGCUCUUAGGAGUGUAUUUUAGAAAGCAACCCAUUAUCUUGCACAUGGUAUAGCUUCAGUCUGCCAAUAGAAAGUGGAGAUUUUGUAUCAGUGGUUAAAAUUGAAAAUGUCUGAUUGCAUUCUCACUGUAACUGUUUUCACUCGCCAAGUUAGAGAAGGCUGAAAGAAACUGUGUAGAUCAAAUCCCUCUUUGGCAUUCCCAUGUCCUUGUUAGUGUGAUUGAUACAGAAGCAUUCCCCUCCCUUACAAUGAUAUUCUCAAGAUAACAACAUUAAAAAUUGGAGUUGUCCAA